rnacentral:rRNA from 1 species
UACAGAGGUCUCAAGCGUUGUUCGGAUUCAUUGGGCGUAAAGGGUGCGUAGGCGGCGCGGUAAGUCGGGUGUGAAAUCUCGGAGCUUAACCCCGAGCCUGCAGUGGAUACGGGCAGACUAGAGGUAGGUAGGGGAGAAUGGAAUUCCCGGUGUAGCGGUGAAAUGCGCAGAUAUCGGGAGGAACACCGGUGGCGAAGGCGGUUCUCUGGGCCUUACCUGACGCUGAGGAGCGAAAGCGUGGGGAGCGAACAGG